GACAAGGAAUUAGAAGAGGAACAUUGGGUCUUACUAUCAAAUGGGAUUUGAGAAGGAGAAUAAGUACCCUCAUGACAUGUGAAGGAGGCAUAUGCAAAAAGGAAUAGUUUACUUGAUCCCGUUCCUGGCCGACCCCAAAAGCAAGACUAAGACAGGAGUUGUUACCUGCCGUGGAGACUGAAGCACCUGUGAAAAGGAGGCUGCAGAGGAUACACAACGCUGAGUUCACAGCUGAGAUGGGAAAUGGCCUCAACAAAUCGGGAAAGAUGUCAACAAGAUCUUCAGCUGAAACUCUUGUGAAGUUCGUUAAGGUCAGGCUAUAAUUUGUAUUUGACUAAAUGUGUCGCUGUAACCUGAUCUCUGUCUCCCUCUUCCUCUUCACCCCUCUCUCCCUCAAGUGUACAAGCACAUACCCCAGCAAAGAGCACUAUCACCAACUCUACUGCUAUAAUACCUCUUACUAGUUAA